CCAUCAAGUAGAAACAGAGAUGACUUCUCCAUAAUGCCAGAGUCAAAGUGAGAUAAUGGUCAGCACACAGAAGCUGUACUUCAGAGGUGGCCAAGGUUUUACCUCAUACUGGCAGCCAAACUUGGUAGUGUAAGAGUCACCCAGAUGGUACUGGUUUCCAAGGCUCGAAUGGGCCAUGGAGCACAGCUGAGGAUUGGCAUUGUGUGGCAGGGAUGGAGUCCCAGAAGAGGGCCAAGGAAAGGCUAUUGGUAAACGUGCAGCCCAAUUGCAGCAAGGGAUCCUGGAAGUUUCGAAGAUGCUGGUACCAAGAAGAGCGGAGAUGGAGUGGAGUCGGUGGGAACCUAGAAGACGGAUGGUGUGUGCUACUGGAGAAGAAACCCAGGUUCCUUGGAAAAGCCCAAAAGACGAAACUGGAAACAGCCCAGAUGUCCAGCAACCGAUGAGAACACAAUGAGAAGACGACACGUUUGCAUGAUGGGAUAUCAUUCAACUGUUCAGAAAAAAGGAAGUUAUGAAAUUUGCAGCAAGAAGAGCAGUGACUCACAAGACGUUGGUAUUAUGGAACUCUGGUGCCUGCCUGGGAUAUGGCCAGUGGCACAGGACAAACACUGCCCUGAGACCUGGAACUUCUCGGGAAGAAUGUCUCUAGGUGGUAGAGGCAUUUCCUCCAAUUCCUCCAAUGCAGACCCUGUUCUCAGUUCAAUGGUUGGCUGCGAGCAUUCCCCCCAAAUGGCUGUUGUCUUACGUUCCACUGUUGGGAUGCAUGUUGUACCCUGAGUGAAGCCCAUCUUUGCUCUCGCCCUUAGAGGAGCCUUUCAUUGUGCUGUCUUGUAUUCUCCUGACUGUUAAGACAUAUUAAGCCAAUUUCCUCCUGUUUGCUUCUCAAGAGGAAGAAUAGCUAAUUAGCUGUUUCGGUGAAGUAAUUCAUUAGAUCUCUUUUUCCACGGUCCAUAAUAAAGCAUGCCUUUGCCUUUCAUUUAUGUCUUGACCAAUACAAAUUUCCUGUCUGUUUCUUCAAAAUGUUGAAAGGAUUCACUAACAAUU
rnacentral:sRNA from 1 species